rnacentral:rRNA from 1 species
UACGUAGGGUGCAAGCGUUUGUCCGGAAUUAUUGGGCGUAAAGAGCUCGUAGGCGGUGUGUCGCGUCGGCCGUGAAAACCCGGGGCUCAACCCCGGGCCUGCAUUCGAUACGGGCAGACUAGAGUUCGGUAGGGGAGUCUGGAAUUCCUGGUGUAGCGGUGAAAUGCGCAGAUAUCAGGAGGAACACCGGUGGCGAAGGCGGGACUCUGGGCCGAUACUGACGCUGAGGAGCGAAAGUGUGGGGAGCGAACAGG